AAUAUAAGGCUUUAAAUCAAGCCUUUCAGCGCGAAUAACAUCUACAUGCGCUCUCUCAUUUCCGUUGAUCAUAUGUCAGAAGUGGUGAUUCAACAUGCCUAUACAGACACAGAUUCAUUUCGACCAAAGAAAUCAUAAUGAAGCGAGCAUUGUUGGGGAAAUUCUCACAACCCGUUAGACGGUUGGCGCUCCUCGCAGCAUUGUCGCUAGUCACGGUUAUUGAGUCCGGUAGUACCUACCCUACCUCACGGAGACAAUAGGCGUGGCCACGGUUACUGAGUCUGGUAGUACCUACCCUACCUCACGGAGACAAUAGGCGUGGCUUGCGACGACGUCCUCAUCGUCAAGAAUUUACACAGUAACUACUGUCAAGGUACAUAUACCGAAAGUGGCAAAAAUAAGACAUUUUCUAAGACUUUUUGUGACUUUUUCUUCACCUUUUUACUUUCAAUCACAACAGUCACAGUGAUUUUAGGGUCUCUGUCAUAAAACAAUCAAUAAUACUACUGUCGAUGCUAUAAACAAAUCAUACAAUAAAAACGUGUUAUCGACGACGACGAACGGCUUUGGCAAGAACUCACGUCCACCUCUGAUUAAGGUGAAAUAGAAUCUACUGGGGAAAGUUAUCAAUGUAACCAGCUCCUGGAGACAGCAGUUGAUUUCUGAGUACCUGGUGCAUGACUUAAACAUUCCCCGGUCUCAAAAUCGCAUUCGUCUGGACAUGUGCAGGUUUGAGAACAGUCGUUUCCAUAUCUUUUAUUGGGACAACCUAAAAGGCGAAACUGGGGAUAAGUUCUGAAUGUAAUAACCACAAAUUAUGAGUAUAUGUCCAAUUCUGAUGUUUGUAUUUUUAAUAUACACUAUCUAUAUAAGAAAAAUAAUGAUGCAAAUCAUACGUAUUUUUCAAUGCGAAUAAUUUUUUUCCAAGUCUCUCCAAUUUUUCUAUGUAAGUUAACAAAAAGGUCGUAUUUGAAAUAUAUUUGAAAUUUAACAACUCAUUUCUUAGUUAACGUAGAACAUGUGAGUACAUUUCAGCUCCACGUUGUUUGGGAGUUGAUUUCCGACAGCUUAACGCAGUUCUAAUCCAUAAAAUACAAUAACCGUGUGUAAUAUUUUCUGUAAUAUUUAGCUUUCGACAAACACAGUGGAUACAGUACUUUAACCAAACCAUUUAUUAUCCCACUACAUCAUCGACACGACUACUGCAGGCUGUAGGCAUACCUGUCACAGCAACUUCACAGAUAUCGAAGUCUAUUGUCCCUGAUCUCUGCGUGUUGUAGACGCUCAAAUAUCUCCCUGAUCCAAUACAAGGAUAGGUGGCCGAUGUCUGCGGGAUAACAUUUAUCUUUGAGCGGUAGCAUAUGUGUCCAGUGAACAAAGUUGAUGUGUUGGAAAUGGAAAUGAAAAAGCCUUCGUUUCCUACAGCUCCUAUAAGGAAUUAGUUCGGUUACUUUCUUUUGUGCUUAUUAAUAAUAAGUAUCUCGGGCAUUCUCUAGUUACUUCAAAAUAAUCCAUUUAUUACCUGCGGGAAAUGUAAUGUUAACCUCUUUGAUCCUUCUGACGCUCGCCAACUCCACGAAAAACCUCGCCGACCCAAUGGCUGUCGCGGGCAUGUUAAUACAAGUUGCGGGAUUGCCAUCAUUGCCUGGAGUCGCUGUCUGGGAGGGCUCAAAGGUUGGUGGCCUAUUGAGGGCCAAGUUAUCUGAAAGGUAUGAAAGUGUUCUAAAUAUAAAUCCAUGAACACGAAAUGUUUCGAAGAUAUAAACAAAAUGAUAAUACUGUAGUAAACUGAACAUUUUUCCGGGUUGUUUUAUGCUUACCCAUGUCAUUCUUAUUUUAUUGCUAGUGUGAUAAUGUAUAAUUUUGAAGUGUUUUUAAACGUUAAAUAAUCUAGAAUUAAGUAUUGAUAUACCAAUUAAAUACUUGUAAAUAAAUGGUACAAACUAAAUACUUAAAUAAAGUACAUGCACAUAUUACUAACCAGCACUGCAUGUUUCUAUUACUAAAGUUUAACCAGAGUUAUCUCUCUUUAGAAUAAGAGUUGUCUUUAGUGUUUUAUUCAUUCAAAUACAGUCAGAGGACAAAUUUAGAGGUCAGUAGUCUUUGAUUGGUCACUGUAAGUAUUCCUGUAAUUUUAUUGGAAGGUCUUGGAGGUCAGAGUUCUGGAGAGUUUUAUUCUGUAAAUUUAAGUCACUUCGAAGUUAGCAGUCAGAGGGAUUGCUAGUGCCAUAUAUUUUGUUAUUAUCUAAGAAUUGACGUAAAUUGGACAAUCUAUUGAAGACAUUGAAAGUAAGUUCUUUCUUUAAUAAUUCCCAUUAACAAUUCUAGCGUAUGAAUAGAAGUAUGAAAAUGAUGAGUUAUAGUUAUACAUGUAUGUAAGAGAAAGAGAGUAAUGAUCAAAUAUAAAUGUAUCAAUAGUUUUUAAAGCAAAUUACACUGAUAUAGAAUUAAUGCUAUGUAUAGGUAGAUAUGAUAAUAUCAGUCUUGAUGUAAGACAUUAUUAUAUAGAUGUUUACAUAAAGUGUGAAUGUGUGUAUUAUUAUAUACAGGUCUGAUGUGUUGUAAAUACACCAUGGACAUGGUUCCAACUCUUUCUUUUGCCUGAAUCCACAAUUCGGAUGUAGCCUAUAUAUCAUAUUCAUCUUCAAGAUCACACAUAUAGAACCUAACGACAAAAAUCAACUGGCAUAGCAAGGUCAUUGUAUUCUUAUUAAAAAAAAAGUUGUUUACAGAUUAGAUGCAAAGUUUAUAGUUCCUUACCGUAAGCAUUUGAAAUAAUUGGGAAGAGUAAAAAUACCAAUACACAAAUCUUGAGCUCCAAAUCCGCCAUUUGUUCGGAUGUAAAUGUUAGCAAGGACAUAGGGAUGUGCAAUAACGGAACAUGAUGACGGAUGAAACCUGAUUAAACCGGACGCUAUUACACCACUGGUCACUCCUGUCAUAAACAACACAAAGCACGUAUACGUACCAUUCACAUGUAGAAAAAUAAAACUUAUGUCCUUGGGUGGCGCAGCAACUAACAUGCAACUUGUUCGCAUGUUCCAUUGCUUUGUGGCCUUUUUUUGUGCGCCACCUAUUUUAUGUUAUUAGUGUUUUUUAGAUGUAUAUUAUUGGCUGGGAUCAGUUUGAGUAAUUUACGUGUUUAUUUGCUCAUUUGCAAACCUAGUCAUUAGUAAACGGUUGUUUGUAUUGAGUUGUCCCAGCCAAUUGAUUUUGUAUAUUUUGGUCUAUUGCGUCAUUUUGUUUGAACUUGGUUUAUUACGUCACUGAUUUGUUUGAUCUUGAUGAUAAUGACAUUUUCACUUAAUAUGUGUUAUCUCGACUUAAUAGAGCAAACAAACAAGUGUGUUGGCAGUUUUUGUCAUGGCUUUACUUAUUUUAAAAUAUAAGUGACAGAACAAAAUACAAUACAAUGUAUAAAUGAUAAAUGAAAUUCACAAUGAGCAAUGAGACAUCAAUGAUUAUAUUCCAUAUUGUCAAUGUAUUCACAAUGAAGUCCAUCAUCAAUAAGCGUUCAAUAUUCAUAGGUCAAUGAGGUUAAAUGGUAAAUGUUCGAUAUUUUCGUUACAUGGUACACAUUCAAUGAUGAUCAAUAGAUUUUUCACACAAUGGU